GCUAAAUAUUACCACGAGACCGAUAGCGAACAAGUACCGUGAGGGAAAGUUGAAAAGUACUCUGAAGAGAGAGUUCAAUAGUACGUGAAACCGUUUAGGGGUAAACCUGAGAAACCCGAAAGGUCGAACGGGGAGAUUCAGCGUGUCUUGACCAUGGCACUGUGAUUGUUGUGCGACGAGCUUUUCCAUCUCUUCAUUGAGUUUGGUUGGUUUGCGUCUUCAGUUCAGUAACGACCUAGUUGAACGCGUGCACUUCUCCCCCAGUAGGACGUUGCGAUUCGUUGGGUGUCGGUCUAAGGCCCAUGGUGGAGCCCGUUCACUUGGCUUGCCCUUGUUGGACGGACCCAUGGUGUUUCCCGGCCGGCACGCUCGACGGUAGACAUAAUGGCGCAAGGCCGCUACAUUUAGUUAGCGUUUGACCUACGGCAAGCGCGCUUGUUGUGUUGGUGAUCGGACCUAGUGCCGUUCCCGACCACUUGUGGCUGUUCGCUGUAGUGUUCUCAGACAGACCUUGUUGAAACGCCAAUCAGCAACGCUAUAGCUUUGGGUAC
rnacentral:rRNA from 1 species